rnacentral:rRNA from 1 species
UACGUAGGGUGCGAGCGUUGUCCGGAAUUAUUGGGCGUAAAGGGCUCGUAGGCGGUCUGUCGCGUCGGGAGUGAAAACUCAGGGCUUAACCCUGAGCCUGCUUCCGAUACGGGCAGACUAGAGGUAUGCAGGGGAGAACGGAAUCCCUGGUGUAGCGGUGAAAUGCGCAGAUAUCAGGAGGAACACCGGUGGCGAAGGCGGUUCUCUGGGCAUGAUCUGACGCUGAGGAGCGAAAGUGUGGGGAGCGAACAGG